rnacentral:rRNA from 1 species
GACAGUUUAAAUAAGUGUUAAAUGCUACCAUUAAACUUAUCGAUAUAUCACGCAUAGACCGAUUUUGUUUACGACGGCAGUAACAAUUUCAGCGUGUUAUCACCCAUCACAGUGAAUCACUGAAAUUUACCCUACAUUCAGUAUCACUUACGCAACUGCAGACAGCUGCUUAAUACAGUCACACUUGUCUUGACUUGGCGCAAUAAAAAUUUUCAUUGAAACACCCUCUCUUCAUUGCGGGGGCAGAUCGGUGAUCAUUUUUGUUUUGUUGCAUUCACGCAUACAAAAUUUUUUUGAUUUCUCUGUAUCGCUUAUUCUUUAAGGACAUUGCGUUACACCGUGACAAUUUUUUCUUUAUGGAUAACUCAGGGAAAGUUUGGCUAAUACGUACGAGUAUAUUUUAUUUUUACUACACAUACGCACACACAUUCAGAUUAAUUUUUGUAUCGCUGUGUAUCAACUACUACUCAGCACUCAAUGGUAAACUUUGGCUGCGCUUGCGCGGUCAGUUUAAAGUUUAACUGCAACAUGAGAGACAUUGAGCACGCACGUGUUGCGUCUUCGGACGCUUCACAUCACGCUGAGCAGACUUUGCGAAGUUUACUUUGCGAAGCAUGUCAUACAAGCAUCUACAGCAUCAAGUCACAGGGUUGGCAAGUGUAUUUUUGAACCUUCAAAGCAGUCACGCAUACGGAAGAGUAGUUUCUGAUCCCAUAGAAGGAGCACCGUACAAUGAGAGACCGCUCUUAGUUCUAAGGAACGCAGCAGGCGCGUAAAUUGCCCAAUGCUAGUACCCUACAAUUCAAAUUGUAUUUACAUGCGUUACACAAUUUACAACAUUAUUACAAGUUUUUAAUGACAGUACAUUAUAACACUUUCAUUUUUUCUGUUAUCAUUACACAUAUAUCCUUGUUCGUUGUACUUUCAGCAUAUAUAGUAUUAAUUUAUUAUUUUACUGAGGCAGUGACAAGCUGUAACGGUUGAGUAUAAAAAUGACGAGUGUCUGGCAUUGCCGCUCUUUCGGGAGCUUGGCAAGUUGCCGACGCUUUGUGUGCUCAAUUGGAAUGCGGUGAGUUUAAGCAACUCAGAACCUUUGGACGGUGUUAGUAAAAUUUCACUG